CCAGCCUGGAUUGGGGCUGGGUGGAAAUGAGAGUGUGGGGAUCGUACUGACGCUGAGCUGGUAGUUUGUGCGUUAAGUAUUGGAUACUUCCUUACCUUGUUAAUUGAGCCACUGGCACCACCUCCACGCCCCCAACCCAGUUCUUUGUCAGCCUUCCCAACAAUGACUUCUAAGACUUCUAACUGAAGAGUUAUUGGGCUCAGGACCCCACUCCCCCCACUUCCUCUCAUUCUAAUUGGUCAGAAGCCCUCCUCUGUGUUCUUAUUGGCCUGGGUUCAUGUCCAUUCUCACUGCUCUGGCAAAUGUCAUACAAGGUGUUAAGUAGUUUAAUUAUAAUCCCUGGAGCGACAUCUGCAACCACCAAUCAGGAAGCAAAGAUACCCGAGAACAGACUAAUCACAAAGCUGCAGCAAUCAUUAGGCAAUGGUGCUUAUUGAAUGUUUACAAUCAUAAUAUUAAAAACCCCGUGCGAUGAAGUGAGGCACAGAGAGGUCAUGUUUUUUGUCCCAUAAUUUAAAAAAGAGGAAAUGGCAGGACUUGAGUUUAAACCCAGGAAUUCUGGCCUCAAAGCUACGCUGUUGCUACUUUGUAGACAGACCUUGAAUACAGGAAAGAGGAAAUAAGAAAAUCUGGUAUAGGGCAACUUCAGGGUUGGAGGGUAAAAGACCCAGAAACUAGAAGUUUACCCAAGGAGAGAUGUUAAGGAUUAUCAACCUUCACUGACAGGAGCAAUUUGUUCCUGAGAGUGAGUUCCACCAUAAGAACCUCGUGCACGUGGUGCUCUCCCUGUUCUCCGCUGGAACAGAGACCUCCAGCACCACCCUCCGCUAUGGACUCUUAUUGCUUCUGAAGAACCCAGAUGUCCUGGAACACUACUGUGUAUCCUGUCAUGAGCACUGUCCUCCAUGACCCACGCCACUUUGAGAAGCCAGACACAUUCUACCCUGGACACUUCCUGGAAGCCAAGGGCAACUUUAGGAAAUGGGAAGCCUUUAUUCCUUUCUCCAUGGAUCUACUUCUCCAUCAGAGAGCAGUGCUCCAUCUGACCCCAGCUGAAUCUUCAAAAGUAUCUAUACAUUUGUGAGUGUUUAUUUUUCUUAUCCAUCUUCGCCCCUCACUAGAACCUGCUGGAUUGGCCAUGCUGGUCAUGGCAACACAGUUUAUUGUGCUCUGAAAGGCAACUCUCCAGGCUUCCUCGCUUCCCCAGGAAGCUGCAGUCAACGGGUUGCAGCCCAAACUGUGCCCAGCCCAAGGACAUAGGCAUAUGACCAUCAGUCAAUCAGAACAGUUACCAUUGGUGUGCUGGAACAGGAUCUUGGAGGCUUACUGGGUGGGCUGCUGACUAGGAAAGAGCCUUGGGACCUGGGCAAGGAGUCAUGGUGAACCAGACCAGUCAGUAGCUUUGAGUAGCCACUGUAUAUCAAUCCCUUUAGAAGUAGUUGGAUAGUCUAACAGCCAGUACAGAUCUACAGCCUACCCCACUGAAUGUCAGCCUAGGAGGGGACCUUGCAGGUCUCAGCUCACCUCUGCCUCCCUCUUGCUGCUUUCUAUAAGACACAUUAGAGAGGUUCUUCCAUGUUCUUCACAUUUUCUCAUAAAUUUGCUUAGUUGAUAAUAUACUUAAUCAGAGGCAUACAGAGAAAAGGAGUGUGAAAGAGGCAAAGACAAAGAUCAGGAGAUGCAGAGAUGGUACAGGAUAGCCAAGAUGAGAUGGAACAGAGAGACACUCAGGUUAUUUGUAUGGAGGACAAGAAUAUGAACAUAAGUGCUUCAUAUGUAAAUCUAUGCAAAUGCGCAUGCAAAUAUCCAGGGAGAAUGGGUGGGACAACCGGGUACUCUUCCAGAAUCCCCCAUAAUAACACAACCUCUCUUACACCCCCAGGAAAAUUCAUCUGUCUGGGAGAGAGCCUGGCCCGUUCUGAGCUCUUCCUAUUUUUUACCUCCAUGCUUCAGAGCUUCUCUUUGGGCUGUCCCAAGGCCCCAGAAGACAUUGAACUCAUGCCAAAAGGGAACUGGCUGGGAAAGUUGCCCCCUGUGUUCCAACUCUGCUUCCUGUCCUGCCACAGAGAGAAAGAAGGGAUGCAGAUUUCCUUAGAAUCCUUCCAUUCAGCCCCAUCUCCAAAAAAAGUGAGGCCUCUUGAGCUCCUUCUUGCUCCCUCUCUUCUGUGUAAAGUAAUUUCUGUAGUCUGUCCUCCAUCCAGCAUGCUAUAGUCUCCAUUUACUUCCAGAUGGCCUUCAAAGUUGACCAAGGGAAAAGGGUCAAGAAAUACCCUAAAUAACUUAAUGUCAUGACUCCUGUUUUUCUUCUGCUGCAAGAUUAACAAAGUCCUUGAUGGCUUUGCUUCUC